rnacentral:misc_RNA from 1 species
GAUGAAGAACGUAGCGAAAUGCGAUAAGUAGUGUGAAUUGCAGAAUUCAGUGAAUCAUCGAAUCUUUGAACGCACAUUGCGCCCUCUGGUAUUCCGGGGGGCAUGCCUGUUCGAGCGUCAUUAUAACCACUCAAGCUCUCGCUUGGUAUUGGGGUUCGCGGUUCCGCGGCCCCUAAAAUCAGUGGCGGUGCCUGUCGGCUCUACGCGUAGUAAUACUCCUCGCGUCUGGGUCCGGUAGGUCUACUUGCCAGCAACCCCCAAUUUUUACAGGUUGACCUCGGAUCAGGUAGGGAUACCCGCUGAACUUAAGCAUAUCAAUAAGCGGAGGA